GUGGGGGCUCAGUGGUAGAGCACUUGCCCAGCAUGUGUGAGGCACUGGGUUCAAUUCUCAGCACCACA
rnacentral:tRNA from 1 species